UGUCGUAGCUGAAUUAGAGAUCGGCUAUUGAUGAAUAUAAACUUAACUACUUUUUAGGAGUAAAAAAUGUCUCUAAGCGUAGAAGCAAAAGCAAAAAUCGUUGCUGAAUUUGGUCGUGAUGCA
rfam:Haemophilus parasuis SH0165, complete genome.